rnacentral:tRNA from 1 species
GCCUGGCUGGCUCAGUCGGUGGAGUGCGUGACUCUUGAUCUCGAGUUGUGAGUUCAAACCCCAGGCUGGGUG